rfam:Gossypium raimondii Chr04_contig_431, whole genome shotgun sequence.
AACCCAUGUUGAGGGCACCUUCUCAAUAAAUCCUUGUAUCUCUCCCAUGCAUCAUAUAAAGUCUCUAAAUUGAUCUGUAGAACGAAGGAGAUAUAAUUCCUCAACUU